GAUACUUUAUGAAUGUUUCAAGUGCUGAUUGAAUUUGAUUCAAGAAAAUAUCAUUUCCAAUAAAUGAUAGAUGUACUCCAUCGUCAGAAUAUAGCGCUGGAUGACGGUCGUCAAAAUCUGGAUAUUUGAUAACGUAUCCUCCAUGUUUGAGUAUAUAAGAUCUCACUCCCUAUUUAUUCUCUUUCUUGUAACUUCCAUGGCAUGG
rnacentral:lncRNA from 1 species